GCAAGUAGCAGCAGGGCUUUCUGCAGGCUGAGGGCAGGCAGAGAACAGCUUCCAGCUAGCGGAGCAGGAAGGAAAAGAGUGCCGGGUGUGCAGGCGACCGAAGGGGAAGGGACGGGAGAGGUGCGUCUGAGCGACGGAGGGGAGCACAAAAUGGCAAGCGCUUCUGUGCUCCUCGCACAGCGAGACCGCAACCCUGCCAUCACGGAGACGCACUGAACAGAGCAACUCAGCACUGGAGCAAAACAAGGUGGGUGUGAAGAGGCUAGGAAAGGAGUCGUGAUGUUUUGGUAAAAUGUAAAUUAGCGUUCAGCAGCGUGCUCGGCGAACAGUGAUCCAGAUAUGAAAGUAAGUAUGUUAUGAUGGAAACAAGGUAAAUGAAGUCUAAUAACCCCAGCAGUUUAGAGGAGGAGUGCUCCAGCAUUACGAUUGGUUCAGAUGUGUCAGUAACAAGAAGAUGCAUUAAAAUCAUGAAGUGUUUUAUUUUUGGAAAGAUGAUGUAUUUCUCUUGAGCUUAAUAGUGUCCUAAUCCCACUAAAAGAAAGACUAAGUUAUAAUGUGAGCUCCUAAAUAAUGUAUCACAGGUCAAUUUUGAAACACACCAGAAAGCAUCAUUUAGCACUGAAGGUUUUUUAUUCCCUUUAGGUAUGGUAAUGCAUUAGUUGGAUCCCAACUUCUUCGGCACUGCAAGCGUCUCGGUGGCUCUUCCCAUCACACACACGCACUAUUCGGCAGGAAUUGGCUUUGCAGCUUUAUAAUGGGCCUCCUGUCUUGCAAAGCUUUGGGAUCGCUCCUUUUAAUGUGGAUUUAUGGCCACUUGUACUCUUGCUCUUCACAAAAACAUCAGGAAUAGCAGCGUGUACGGAAAGAGG